rnacentral:rRNA from 1 species
GGGUCGAUGAAGAACGCAGCCAGCUGCGAGACUUGGUGUGAAUUGCAGGACACACUGAGCACUGAUUCUUUGAACGCACAUUGCGGCCUUGGGUCUUCCCUUGGCUUCGUCUGUCUGAGGGUCGGAU